rnacentral:rRNA from 1 species
UACGGGGGGGGCAAGCGUUGUUCGGAAUUACUGGGCGUAAAGGGCUCGUAGGCGGCCAACUAAGUCAGACGUGAAAUCCCCAGGCUCAACCUGGGAACUGCGUCUGAUACUGGAUGGCUUGAAUCCGGGAGAGGGAUGCGGAAUUCCAGGUGUAGCGGUGAAAUGCGUAGAUAUCUGGAGGAACACCGGUGGCGAAGGCGGCAUCCUGGACCGACACUGACACUGAGGAGCGAAAGCCAGGGGAGCAAACGGG